AAAAAAUUCAAUUUCAUUACCUUAAACUAGUGAGAUGACUUCCUUAGUACACAGCGUCUUCUCCAACCACCCAGAAUCUAAAACGAAAGUAAACCACCAAGAAUAGUAUGCUUGAAUGGCUUUAACAACCAUAAAAAAAAUUGAAUCAAAAGCUUGAGUUUUUUUGGAUGAUUAUGGAGGCAAAGUGAAAGAGAUGUUAUUUUUGGUUCAUAACAAGUGAGAAAGAGAGAGAGUGUAAAUCGAUUUUAGGUGCAUUAAGAGCUUCAAAUUGGUUGUUCAUGGUGGUUGGAGUAUUGAUGGCAAUGGCAAUCAUGUAAAUACUAGAAGAUGAUGAGGUUGAGGGAGUAAAAAAACCAUUUUCAAAAAGAAAAAAAAAAUUAAUGGCAUUUUCGUAAAUAAUGUGAACAUGUGGGGUGUAUAGAGCAAAACAAAAAUAAAAAAGAAGGAGAUGUUAGUUUUGUGUUUGACUUUAUGUUUUGAGUCAUAUCUGCAAAAACCCUAUAAAUAAUGGGGGGAUUUGCCAAAAGUGACUCAAAACUUUUUUUUGAAUACAAAAGUGUAUCCCAAAUUCAAUCAAAUACAAAAGUAACCCAAAAACCUAGGGAAAUUACAACAGCCCCUUUGUGAAUAAACAAAAAACAUGUAUUCAAUUUUACCAUUAUAACUCUCCG
rnacentral:lncRNA from 1 species